rnacentral:rRNA from 1 species
UGGUGGAGUGAUUUGUCUGGUUAAUUCCGUUAACGAACGAGACCCCUGCCUGCUAAAUAGCUUGCGUAGUGAAUUUUCACUGCGUGAAGCUUCUUAGAGGGACGUGCAUUCUAUUAGAUGCAGGAAGAUAGGGGCAAUAACA